GCGACGAUCCGUAACUGGUCUGAGAGGAUGAUCAGUCACACUGGAACUGAGACACGGUCCAGACUCCUACGGGAGGCAGCAGUGGGGAAUAUUGGACAAUGGGCGAAAGCCUGAUCCAGCCAUGCCGCGUGUGUGAAGAAGGUCUUCGGAUUGUAAAGCACUUUAAGUUGGGAGGAAGGGCAGUAAGUUAAUACCUUGCUGUUUUGACGUUACCGACAGAAUAAGCACCGGCUAACUCUGUGCCAGCAGCCGCGGUAAUACAGAGGGUGCAAGCGUUAAUCGGAAUUACUGGGCGUAAAGCGCGCGUAGGUGGUUCGUUAAGUUGGAUGUGAAAGCCCCGGGCUCAACCUGGGAACUGCAUCCAAAACUGGCGAGCUAGAGUAUGGUAGAGGGUGGUGGAAUUUCC
rnacentral:rRNA from 1 species